AUACGGAGGGUGCAAGCGUUAUUCGGAAUCACUGGGCGGAAAGGACGCGUAGGCGGGUUGGCAAGUCAGAUGUGAAAUCCUACAGCUUAACUGUAGAACUGCAUUUGAAACUGCUAACCUAGAGUAUGUGAGGGGGAGAUGGAAUUAGUGGUGUAGGGGUAAAAUCCGUAGAUAUCACUAGGAAUACCGAAAGCGAAGGCGAUCUCCUGGAACAUAACUGACGCUAAGGCGUGAAAGCGUGGGGAGCAAACAGAAUUAGAUACCCUAGUAGUCC
rnacentral:rRNA from 1 species